rnacentral:rRNA from 1 species
GACGAACGCUGGCGGCGUGCUUAACACAUGCAAGUCGAACGAAGUGGCGAACGGGUGAGUAACGCGUAAUCAACCUGCCCUUUAGAGGGGGACAACAGUUGGAAACGACUGCUAAUACCGCAUACUGAAGGAGGGGAUUGCGUCUGAUUAGCUUGUUGGAGGGGUAACGGCCUACCAAGGCGAUGAUCAGUAGCCUGUCUGAGAGAAUGAACGGCAACAUGGGGACGGAGUCACGGCCCAGACGCCUACGGAUGGAAGCAGUGGGGAAUCUUCCGCAAUGGACGAAGGUCUGACGGGGCAACACCGAGUGAGUGAUGACGGCCUUCGGGUUGUAGAGCUCUGUUAAUCGGGACGCGGUACCGGAAUAGAAAGCCACGGCUAACUACGGGCCAGCAGCCGCGGUAAUUC